rnacentral:rRNA from 1 species
GCACUGACUGCUAUCGGAUUGAUACUAAGCCAUGUGAGUCAUUGUAGCAAUACAAGGCAGACGGCUCAGUAACACGUAGCCACCUACCCUAUGGACGGGGAUAACCUCGGGAAACUGAGGAUAAACCCCGGUAGAUCAUUAUGCCUGGAACGGUUUAUGGUCAAAAUGAUUCGUCGCCGUAGGAUGGGACUGCGGCCUAUCAGCUUGUUGGUGAGGUAAUGGCCCACCAAGGCUAUUACAGGUACGGGCUCUGAGAGGAGAAGCCCGGAGAUGGGUACUGAGACACGGACCCAGGCCCUAUGGGGCGCAGCAGGCGAGAAACCUUUGCAAUGUGCGCAAGCACGACAAGGUUAAUCCGAGUGUUUCCUGCUAAAGGAAUCUUUUGUUAGUCCUAAAAACACUAGUGAAUAAGGGGUGGGCAAGUUCUGGUGUCAGCCGCCGCGGUAAAACCAGCACCUCAAGUGGUCAGGAGGAUUAUUGGGGCCUAAAGCAUCCGUAGCCUGCUCUAUAAGUUUCCGGUUAAAUCCAUUAGCUCAACUAAUGGGCUGCCGGAAAAACUGUAGAGCUUGGGAGUGGGAGAGGUAGACGGUACUCGUAGGAAGGGGUAAAAUCC